rnacentral:lncRNA from 1 species
AAUGGAGCCAAAACCAAAGAAAAGAGAAAAGGGGCUUAGAUAGAAGUAAAUGGGAUUUUUGGUGAGGAUUCCUUAUGUUGUUGUAAUAUUAUGAGAAUUUUUCGAAAAGGACUAAGAGUGAUGUUAUAUUUGACACUCAAGUAGAAGAUAAUUCAUUUCAUAAAGUCCGUGAUGAACUGGGACUAAUAGAAAAUGAGAUUCAUUUUACCCACAGGGACAAUUACCUAAAACUGAGCCAAGCAAUUUCAGAAUAUUUUUAACCUUUUGGUUUAAAAAUGGGUGAACAAUAAGCUCACCAUCGAAGCCCAAGAAAAGGCUGAUAAUAAACAAUCUGAAUGGGGAAGGCAGGAAGUGGCAUAUGUGCACUCAGUUGCAUGUGCGAGAGAACUCGCACAUGCGGGUUUCUCACCCGCAUGAACCUGUACGUGAGGUGUGGGGAUAAACAAUCCCGGCCCAGCGCGCACAUAGAGGUGUGCAGGAGGUGCCCCACAUCCGCACAAUAUCCCACAUGCAUGUAGGCAGCAAGGCCCACGCCUAGUAGGGGCGCAUGCGUGGGACCUGA